rnacentral:rRNA from 1 species
CCUACGGGGGGCUGCAGUGGGGAAUAUUCCGCAAUGGACGAAAGUCUGACGGAGCAACGCCGCGUGAGUGAUGAAGGUUUUCGGACUGUAAAACUCUGUUGUUUAGGACGAAAGUGCCUGUUGCAAAUAGUUGCAGGUAUUGACGGUACUGAACGAGGAAGCCACGGCUAACUACGUGCCAGCAGCCGCGGUAAUACGUAGGUGGCAAGCGUUGUCCGGAAUUAUUGGGCGUAAAGAGCAUGUAGGUGGGCUGUUAAGUCUGUUGUGAAAAUGCGGGGCUCAACCCCGUAUUGCGAUGGAAACUGACAGUCUUGAGUGCAGGAGAGGAAAGGGGAAUUCCCAGUGUAGCGGUGAAAUGCGUAGAUAUUGGGAGGAACACCAGUGGCGAAGGCGCCUUUCUGGACUGUGUCUGACACUGAGAUGCGAAAGCUAGGGGAGCGAACGGGAUUAGAUACCCCAGUAGUC